GUUGCCAAAGUCAGUCUGUACUUAGAAGUAAACAACAUUUCGAUCAUUUUCGUUUCAAGAAAUAAUUUUAUUUAGUUACGUAUUAAAAAUGCAAGCUAGGCUGCUUUAGGUAGAAAAAUGUCUCGUCAGAAAUUAGAUCCGUUUUCUCUGGAUAAUUAUGAAUUCCGUAAACGGUAUUAUUUUUCCAAACAUACGGCUGCAUUUAUAAGUGACUGAUAGUCCGCGAAGAGUUGCUGUUUCACCGUAUAGGUUGUGGCAGAUCACCAGAAUUGCAAGUAUUAAUAAACUGCAUUGACAUGUUGGGAUCGUCAUGAGAGGAACCCUUGUUAAGGUUGGAAUUUCACCAUGUAAAAGACUGCCCAUCUAUAAUUGGUUGUAUUUUCUACACCCAUAUA